rnacentral:lncRNA from 10 species
CAAUUGGGCACCACCUGCCCUGUUCCCCACUGCUUGUAUCACCUUCUGACAAACUGGAUAAUCUACUUGCUCUGUUUAUGAUUUGCUGUUGGUCUCCCCCAACAAGAACAUCCAUCCCAUGAGGGGAAGAAUGGCUUCUCUGCCGUAUCUCAAAUGCUCGGCAUAGAACCCAGCACCUGGCGGGGGCUCCUAACUGUCACCUGGGUGAAUGAAUGCUCCAGUGAGCAUUGGCUGCAAAGUGUCUUUCCAUAAACAAAACAAAAUGAAAACAAAAAAACCCCAAUACCAUUGACCAGUCCAUCUCCCUCCCACCCACCCAGCAGCUACUGCCAGUUUCUCUACUCCAUUU